AUUUAAAUAGUUUAAUUAGAAUAAUAAUUUGUGGAAUUAUAGGUGUCGAUUAUUGACUUUAAAUC
rnacentral:tRNA from 1 species